GGCUGGUCCAAAGAUAGUGAGUUAUCUCAAUUGGAUUGUUCACAGUCAGUACAGAUUGAACUCCUUGUUCUACUCUUUCCUCCCUUCUCACUACUGCACUUGACUAGUCUAGA
ensembl:misc_RNA Y_RNA Y RNA